rnacentral:rRNA from 1 species
GAUGAACGCUGGCGGCGUGCCUAAUACAUGCAAGUCGAGCGAACAGAUGAGGAGCUUGCUCCUCUGACGUUAGCGGCGGACGGGUGAGUAACACGUGGAUAACCUACCUCUAUGACUGGGAUAACUUCGGGAAACCGGAGCUACUACCAGAUCAUAUAUUGAACCGCAUGGUUCAAUAGUGAAAGACGGUUUUGCUGUCACUUAUAGAUGGAUCCGCGCCGCAUUAGCUAGUUGGUAAGGUAACGGCUUACCAAGGCAACGAUGCGUAGCCGACCUGAGAGGAUGAUCGGCCACACUGGAACUGAGACACGGUCCAGACUCCUACGGGAGGCAGCAGUAGGGAAUCUUCCGCAAUGGGCGAAAGCCUGACGGAGCAACGCCGCGUGAGUGAUGAAGGUCUUCGGAUCGUAAAACUCUGUUAUUAGGGAAGAACAAAUGUGUAAGUAACUAUGCACGUCUUGACGGUACCUAAUCAGAAAGCCACGGCUAACUACGUG